rnacentral:tRNA from 2 species
GCCCUGGUGGUGGAAUUGGUAGACACAAGGGAUUUAAAAUCCCUCGGCGUUCGCGCUGUGCCGGUUCAAGUCCGGCCUGGGGCACCA